rnacentral:rRNA from 1 species
AUUGAACGCUGGCGGCAUGCCUUACACAUGCAAGUCGAACGGCAGCACGGGAGCAAUCCUGGUGGCGAGUGGCGAACGGGUGAGUAAUAUAUCGGAACGUGCCCAGUCGUGGGGAUAACGUAGCGAAAGCUACGCUAAUACCGCAUACGAUCUAUGGAUGAAAGCGGGGGAUCGCAAGACCUCGCGCGAUUGGAGCGGCCGAUAUCAGAUUAGGUAGUUGGUGAGGUAAAGGCUCGCCAAGCCGACGAUCUGUAGCUGGUCUGAGAGGACGACCAGCCACACUGGGACUGAGACACGGCCCAGACUCCUACGGGAGGCAGCAGUGGGGAAUUUUGGGACAAUGGGCGCAAGCCUGAUCCAGCAAUGCCGCGUGCAGGAUGAAGGCCUUCGGUUGUAACGUAGCUUUGUUACGG